UAGGGAAUCUUCGGCAAUGGACGAAAGUCUGACCGAGCAACGCCGCGCGAGUGAAGAAGGUUUUCGGAUCGUAAAACUCUGUUGUUAGAGAAGAACAAGGACGUUAGUAACUGAACGUCCCCUGACGGUAUCUAACCAGAAAGCAACGGCUAACUACGUGCCAGCAGCCGCGGUAAUACGUAGGUGGCAAGCGUUGUCCGGAUUUAUUGGGCGUAAAGCGAGCGCAGGCGGUUUCUUAAGUCUGAUGUGAAAGCCCCCGGCUCAACCGGGGAGGGUCAUUGGAAACUGGGAGACUUGAGUGCAGAAGAGGAGAGUGGAAUUCCAUGUGUAGCGGUGAAAUGCGUAGAUAUAUGGAGGAACACCAGUGGCGAAGGCGGCUCUCUGGUCUGUAACUGACGCUGAGGCUAGAAAGCGUGGGGAGCAAACAGG
rnacentral:rRNA from 1 species